rnacentral:rRNA from 1 species
GCUGGUGUGGAUGAGUGGCGAACGGGUGAGUAAUACGUGAGUAACCUGCCCUUGACUCUGGGAUAAGCCCGGGAAACUGGGUCUAAUACUGGAUGCUACAUGUCACCGCAUGGUGGUGUGUGGAAAGGGUUUACUGGUCUUGGAUGGGCUCACGGCCUAUCAGCUUGUUGGUGAGGUAAUGGCUCACCAAGGCGACGACGGGUAGCCGGCCUGAGAGGGUGACCGGCCACACUGGGACUGAGACACGGCCCAGACUCCUACGGGAGGCAGCAGUGGGGAAUAUUGCACAAUGGGCGAAAGCCUGAUGCAGCGACGCCGCGUGAGGGAUGACGGCCUUCGGGUUGUAAACCUCUUUCAGCAGGGAAGAAGCCACAAGUGACGGUACCUGCAGAAGAAGCGCCGGCUAACUACGUGCCAGCAGCCGCGGUAAUACGUAGGGCGCAAGCGUUGUCCGGAAUUAUUGGGCGUAAAGAGCUCGUAGGCGGUUUGUCGCGUCUGCUGUGAAAGCCCGGGGCUUAACCCCGGGUGUGCAGUGGGUACGGGCAGACUAGA